rnacentral:lncRNA from 1 species
UGAAAUGGUGGAGUGGAAUAGUGAUUCCACUUCAAUUUGCUGGAUAUCAACCAUACAAUACAACAGACCGUUUAUGUCUACAAUUCAUUGCUUACUAGACCUAUUCCGAGUCAACUCAACCGGGUAAACUAAACUCAACAUGAGCACAAGGAGCCACUAGUCCUUCACAUCAACACCGGUUUUGUGAUCACCAUCCUCAUCAUCUACAGGCCCACAUUCCGAAUUCGAGCUAGCAUCCAAGUCCUUCUCCGGCGAGUCAAGCUGCACACACUCAGCAACCGAGUGAGACGGUGAGUUGUAUUCCGAGUCAUGGCUUCUGUUAGACGGUGUCACGUCUCCUUUCCUCACCACAUUAAACACAAUCCCGUUAUGUAUCCUCUCCGGCUGAAGAAGAUCGCCUGCAGCCACCGUGAUGCUACCACUACUACUACUGGUAUGGACCCGGUUGUUAGGGGUGUUUUCCCGUUGAUCGGCUUCGGGAUCCGAACUUCUCUCAGGCGGUACCACACGCAAGUUUUGGAAACUCCUGAGCGCCUUGUUCAUUUUCGAGUCCGUAUCUAGGUUCUGAACGAACUCGACGAACUGAUCCGCAGAAGUCGUUCUCAUCAACGGCCCACCAGAUCUCGUCCACGUAUUCAACUCCGCACUCUCUGACUCGCUAUCGCUCCCGUCGUGUAUGCGGUGGUGCCGCCAGUUACGACCGCCGUAGUGGAGGGUGGCGUCUGCUAGAUCUUCUUCUAGAGAUCCUGUUGAAUUCUCUCGUGCUAUACAGUUCCACGACGGUAUUCGUUUCGAUGCGUUAAACCGGACACUGUUUGAUCCACCGUGAGAAGCCGCAGCCGCGCGUUCGGCGCUUCGUUUCAACCUACGCAUGUGGUUUAGAAUCGCGACACACUCGUCAAGCGCGAGCUCGAUCCCGCAAUUGGCUUUUAUGGCAGAAAGCUUCUCCCAUGUGCAUCUUCGGCCUUGAUUGGCGGCUUUUUGAAGCUCCAAAUGAGACGGAUUUUGUAUGAUCUUCGAGUACUGGCAUAACGACGGUAACAUCGCCCUCCCAAUCUUGAGCAAAUAGCUUUGCAAGUCCUCCUAACGGAAAACCGAGUUCCAGAACUUGAUUGCAUCGGUGUUUCACUUCCAUUUCGACAAGAUGUGCAAGCUACAACAAGAUCAUAUAAUAUUUAAAAAAAAAAGAAAAUAUAAAAAAGCACAAAUUUUAACAGUAUAGAUUUGCAGGAAUGUACCUUUGCGGCAAAAUUGCCCCCGUAAGCUCUCACGAACUCUUUAAACCGGAGUAAAGGCGCGAUAUGUGGAUUUGCUUGACUAACGAUAAAAUGAUU